rnacentral:rRNA from 1 species
UACGUAGGGUGCGAGCGUUAAUCGGAAUGACUGGGCGUAAAGGGUGCGCAGGCGGUUGGUCAAGACGGAUGUGAAAGCCCCGGGCUUAACCUGGGAGUGUCAUUCGUGACUGACGAACUAGAAUAUGGCAGAGGGAGGCGGAAUUCCACAUGUAGCAGUGAAGUGCGUAGAGAUGUGGAGGAACACCGAUGGCGAAGGCAGCCUUCUGGGCUAAUAUUGACGCUCAGGCACGAAAGCGUGGGGAGCAAACAGG